rnacentral:rRNA from 1 species
GAUGAACGCUGGCGGCGUGCCUAACACAUGCAAGUCGAACGAAGCAUCUUAUCUUGAUUUCUUCGGAUUGAUUGAUUUGAUGACUGAGUGGCGGACGGGUGAGUAACGCGUGGGUAACCUGCCUUAUACAGGGGGAUAACAGUUAGAAAUGACUGCUAAUACCGCAUAAGCGCACAGUAUCGCAUGAUACAGUGUGAAAAACUCCGGUGGUAUAAGAUGGACCCGCGUCUGAUUAGCUAGUUGGUGAGGUAAUGGCUCACCAAGGCGACGAUCAGUAGCCGGCCUGAGAGGGUGAACGGCCACAUUGGGACUGAGACACGGCCCAAACUCCUACGGGAGGCAGCAGUGGGGAAUAUUGCACAAUGGGGGAAACCCUGAUGCAGCGACGCCGCGUGAGCGAUGAAGUAUUUCGGUAUGUAAAGCUCUAUCAGCAGGGAAGAAAAUGACGGUACCUGACUAAGAAGCCCCGGCUAACUACGUGCCAGCCGCCGCGGUAAUAC